rnacentral:rRNA from 1 species
UACGAAGGGGGCUAGCGUUGUUCGGAAUUACUGGGCGUAAAGCGCACGUAGGCGGACUUUUAAGUCAGGGGUGAAAUCCCGGGGCUCAACCUCGGAACUGCCUUUGAUACUGGAAGUCUUGAGUAUGGAAGAGGUAAGUGGAAUUGCGAGUGUAGAGGUGAAAUUCGUAGAUAUUCGCAGGAACACCAGUGGCGAAGGCGGCUUACUGGUCCAUUACUGACGCCGAGGUGCGAAAGGCGUGGGGAGCAAACAGG